UCUAGUUGAUCCUGCUAGACCCGAGUGCUAUUCGAUUGGUACUAAGCCAUGCAAGUCGAAGGGUGGUAAACGGUCCACCCUGGCACACGGCUCAGGAACGCGUUGUGAAUCUACCCCGCGGUCCGCUAUAAUCCCGGGAAACUGGGGCUAAUGGCGGACAUCCGAGGCUGGCUGGAAUGCCGCCUCGCUGAAAGGAGCACGCCUAACCGUGUUUUCCGCCGCGGGAUGACACUGCGCCCGAUUAUGCUUGAUGGUGGGGUGACGGCCCACCAUGGCUCUGAUCGGUACCGGUCAUGGGAGUGAGAGCCGGGAGAAAAGGACUGAGACACGGCCUUUAGCCUUACGAGGCGCAGCAGGCGAGAAACCUCCGCAAUGCACGAAAGUGUGACGGGGCCAAUCGAAGUGCUUCCCUUGGCGGGAAGCUGUGGCGACAAGUAGGAGAUGUCGCAAGAAAGGCGAGGGCAAGGCUGGUGCCAGCCGCCGCGGUAAAACCAGCUCGUCAAGUGCUCGGGACCUUUACUGAGCUUAAAGCAGGCGUAGCUGGGCUCGUAAGUCCGUGGUUAAAUCCAAGCGCUCAACGCUUGGGCUGCUGCGGAUACUGCGAGCCUUGGGACCGGAAGAGGUAAGGGGUACGCGCGGGGUACCGGUGAAAUGGGAUAAUCCUGCGCGGACCACCGGUGGCGAAGGCGCCUUACCAGGACGGGUUCGACAGUGAGGCCUGAAAGCCUGGGGAGCAAAGCGGAUUAGAUACCCGUGUAGUCCAGGCUGUAAACGAUGCGCGCUAAGUGUGGCGGCUGCCAAGAGCUACCGCCGUGCUGAAGGGAAACCGAUAAGCGCGCCGCUUGGGGAGUACGGUCGCAAGACUGAAACUUAAAGGAAUUGGCGGGGGAGCACCACAAGGGGUGAAGCCUGCGGUUUAAUUGGACAACGCCAGGAACCUUACCGGGGGAGCCAGCUGUAUGAGGGACAGGCUGACGACCUUUCCUGACUGGCUAAGAGGUAGUGCAUGGCCGUCGCCAGUUCGUGUCGUGAGAUGUCUUGUUAAGUCAAGUAACGAACGAAACCCGUGCCCUUAGUUGCUACCGAAUGCGUUAUGACGCACCGGGCCCACUAAGGGGACCGACGCUGCUAAAGCGUAGGAAGGUGCGGGCCACGGCAGGUCAGUAUGCUCCGAAUCCACCCGGGCCACACGCGGGCUGCAACGGCGGGGACAAUGCGCCGCUACUCCGAAAGGAGACGCUAAUCGUGAAACCCUGUCUCAGUUGGGAUUGCGGGCUGAAACUCGCCCGCAUGAACUUGGAAUCCCCAGUAUCCGGGUGUCAACAUCGCCCGGAGAAUACGUCUCUUCUCCUUGUACACACCGCCCGUCGCUUCAUGCGAGUGGCUCAAGUGCGAGACUCGUUCUUUUGGGCGGGUCGAGUAUUGGGGCCGCAAGUGGGAAGAAGUCGUAACAAGGUA
rnacentral:rRNA from 1 species